GGCUGGUUCACCCCUUACAAAGAGUAUGGCUCUCGCUGUCUCCUCCUCUGAACAUCAUGGGGAUAAUACCCUGUCCCAGCCUGCAGUUCUCCAGUCUUCACUUGACCCAUCUAAGGAAACAAAGGAAGAAAAGGAAAGGAAAGGAAUACAGAAGAAACAGAAGUGGAACAUUUGCCACAGAAACACAAUAAACUGUGGAAAAUUCUGAAAGAGAUGGGAAUACCAGACCACCUGACCUGCCUCUUGAGAAACCUGUAUGCAGGUCAGGAAGCAAUAGUUAUAACUGCACAUGGAACAACAGACUGGUUCCAAAUAGGAAAAGGAGUAUGUCAAGGCUGUAUAUUGUCACCCUGCUUAUUUGACAUAUAUGCAGAGUACAUCAUGAGAAACACUGGGCUGGAAGAAGCACA